UGCCGGGCAGCGGACUGACACGGCACGGACACGGCCGACCAGCGGACGUUACUGUUCAAGUGCGCUGCCGCGAUGGCUGCGCGUUGCGUGCGGGAGGGGCCGGUCGGCCGGAGGGCGGCGGCAGCAGCGGUUCAACGUGAAAUGAUGAGGCUAGUUUUUGAGCCGUCGGAUGUUGCCUCGACGUCGGAUAUAUAGACUCGAAAGUUACGAUGUGACUUCCAAAGAGCAUUACCGAAUGUGAUUGUGACUACACCGCCACUGCUCUGCUCAACACGGUUCACCGGUAAUGAUCCCCGGUUCCUCCGACUGCAACCGGGCGCCACGUCCGCACCUCCAUCUCGCUUUCAGCCGUUCGUACCUAGGCUACACUACAUGAAAGGUCGCUCUUCAGCUGAAACUGAAGUCUGAAACCACCGCCCAGCGCUCGCCUGUUUCUGCGGCCGUCGAUGGAGCUCCACCUCGCCACCAUCGCCCACCGCCCGCCUUUGCCGGUACCGGCGCGGGGCCACCACCUCCGCCGCCGCCUCCACCACCUCCCGGCUCCUCUCUCCUUCCAAAACACCUACUCCCCCUCCCUUUCCUCCCCGCAUCAUCAUCGCCUUUCUCCCACCCUUCGCCGCCACCUCCGCCUGCCUCUUCUCGCCUCCCAAGCGCCCAAUUCUAACCCGGAGCCUGAACCUGAGCCCGAGCCCACUGGUGCGAAGCUACUGCCGCUCGUCAUCUCCAUCGCCAUCGGCCUCGCCGUGCGGUUCCUCGCGCCGCGGCCCGUCGAGGUUAGCCCGCAGGCGUGGCAGCUCCUCUCCAUCUUCCUCUCCACAAUCGCGGGGCUGGUGCUUGGCCCUCUCCCUGUCGGCGCAUGGGCCUUCCUCGGGCUCACAGCCGCCGUCGCCACUCGCACGCUCCCCUUCACCGCCGCCUUCUCCGCCUUCACCAACGAGGUCAUCUGGCUCAUCGUCAUUUCCUUCUUCUUCGCGCGCGGGUUCGUCAAGACAGGCCUCGGCGACCGAAUCGCCACCUACUUCGUCAAGUGGCUCGGGAGCAGCACGCUGGGCCUUUCCUACGGGCUUACCCUCAGCGAGGCCUGCAUCGCGCCAGCCAUGCCCAGCACCACGGCGAGGGCCGGAGGCGUGUUCCUACCUAUCAUCAAGUCGCUCUCGCUGUCGGCUGAGAGCAAGCCCAACCAUCCAUCGUCGCGGAAGCUUGGGUCCUAUCUUGUGAUGACGCAAUUCCAGGCAUCUGGUAACUCGAGUGCUUUAUUCCUCACUGCUGCAGCACAAAACCUGUUGUGCUUGAAGCUAGCAGAGGAGCUUGGUGUAAUCAUUGCAAAUCCAUGGGUAUCAUGGUUCAAAGCUGCUAGUUUGCCAGCUCUUGUUUCUCUGCUAGCAACACCAUAUUUGCUGUACAAAAUCUUCCCACCUGAAACAAAGGACACCCCUGAUGCCCCAGCACUGGCUGAAAAGAAACUGAAGCUCAUGGGCCCUGUGACUAAAAACGAAUCGGUUAUGAUUGGCACAAUGAUUCUUGCAGUCUCCUUAUGGGUUUUUGGGGAUGCUAUUGGUGUGUCUAGUGUUGUGGCUGCAAUGCUUGGGCUCUCCAUUCUUCUCGUUCUCGGUGUGCUAGACUGGGACGAUUGCUUGAAUGAGAAAUCAGCAUGGGAUACAUUGGCUUGGUUUGCAGUUCUGGUUGGAAUGGCAGGACAACUCACUAACCUGGGAAUUGUUUCUUGGAUGUCAAACUGUGUUGCCAAGCUGCUUCAGUCGUUCUCAUUGAGUUGGCCAGUGGCAUUUUGUGUUCUGGAGGCCUCCUACUUUCUGAUCCACUACCUAUUUGCAAGCCAGACUGGACAUGUUGGAGCCUUAUACUCUGCAUUUCUGGCUAUGCAUAUAGCGGCCGGUGUUCCUAGUGUGCUGUCAGCACUUGCUUUGGCAUUCAACACAAAUCUGUUCGGUGCAAUCACUCAUUAUAGUAGUGGGCAGGCUGCAGUAUACUUCGGAGCCGGGUAUAUGGAGCUUCCAGAUGUUUUCAGGCUGGGUUUUAUAACAGCCUUGGCUAACACGUUAAUCUGGGGAGUUGUUGGAACCAUCUGGUGGAAAUUUUUGGGUCUGUACUGACAGUGGCAGACAUGUGGUUGACCAAAAUUUUCAUUUGGCACUGGUCGAAUUGCUCUUGCUCAUUGUUAGGAAGGGCAGAAUAUCUAGUUAACUACCGUUGCUCCCUCCGGUCAGCUAUCGCUGAGGUGAUCAGCAGUUAGCAAUUACGCCUGUGUCGUGCAGUUCCUUGUUUUCUCUUUGGUUCCGUAGAAGUCCUUGGGCAAUUUUUCUGCGCUUGGAACCAACGAAUUCUCACAAAACAUCAGCGAGCUCGUCGGCUUGAUGGUCGUAGAGGCUUUGCGUCGCAAUCUGGAUAAUCACAUUUAUUUA